rnacentral:sRNA from 1 species
AUAUAUAACGAUGGUGCAUUAUUCUAGUCGUACUUGUUAUUGCGAGGGUGGGGCUAAAAAUCCACUAAAGGGCAUACCGAUGAAGUUUCUUAUUUAUGCGCGAAAUGCCAGUUUUGCGUGUGGGUAGGGAGUAAAGAAGCCAGGGCACAGUGUAAUGGCAUAUGCAAGAUACCCUAGUUUCGUUGAGGCUUAAAAUUGCAUCUUUUAAGUAUAACCUAUGUUGAGUGCCAAGACACAAAAUACAUAGUGUAGCCUGUCUUGAGUGAAUGUACUGGGAUUGUAUAAACUAUGAAAUUACAUUUGCAAAAAAGACUAACAAUAAUUUAAAGUAUGUUAAGGAAAACUUCUAGAAUGUUUGCUUUACAAAAAGCAUAGAAAUCUAAGGAUUAAGGUACGGAUUUAAGUGGUGAUCUAGUGUCUACUGAAAUAUGUAGAUGUUCUUUUAAAUGGAAACAGCUAUGUAGCAAUACAUAGUAAAGAAUAGAGAAAUUCAACUAGACCUAAACCGUAAAAUUUACUUAGAUUUUACCAUCUUGUUUUUUAUA